GAAAAAAUAGUUUAAACCCACAAAACAUAACACUGAAAAUGUUAAAAUGAGAUAGUCUUUUUUCA
rnacentral:tRNA from 1 species